AGAUUCCAACCACAUCUGACACCUUACCACGUGGUCAGACAGUGUUGGAAGGUGGAGUGGAAGGCAGGGAGCCCAAAUGGUAACUGGAGUCAGAGCCAAUGAAAGGGACCUGGCAGAACCACUCACCUCUAGCUUAAGGAAGAUCCCCACGGCAAAACAGCGGGUGACCCAGUUCACUAUGCCGCCCAGCGUGAAGGCUGUGGCCCGCGAUGACUGAAGGAAGAUCUCGAGAGUGACCACGGGGACCAGCUGUAUUUCCAGCAAACCUUACUGCCCACCCGGAAACCUAUGUCCCCACUUGUGGAAGGACGUGCGGACCCAGAACUGGCCUCCACAGUCACUUACAGACGCUCUGUUAAAACCGUGUUCAUGGAGGACAAUCUUAUUUGGCUGUGAGUGAUCGCCAAAGAAGAAGAAGAAGCAUGUAUUCCCAUUUUACUGUAUUAUCCACAGCAUUUCUAGCUGGGAGAGUGGAUAUG